CUUGGGUGCCAACCGAGGCAUCGUUGGCGAUGGGGUCUUGUUGGGACUCGGCAACCUCUUGCUCCAGCGCUUUGGUCUCUACACGAAAUGCAAUGAUACAAAAUAAAUAAACAUACCAUGAAUGAGUGCAAUGACAUGAGAAAAAAUAUACUCAAAUAUGAUCUAACAAAAUUGGUUUCAUGAUUUUUGGACUAAAAGAGAAUUAACUAUGCAAUUAACAAGAUUAAAACUCAUAUAAUUAAUUCAGAAAAUUAAUUAAUUAUUUUGCGAGAAAACUCAUUUUUAACAGGUUCUUUACAUCAUUGGAAAACCAACAAAAUUUGUUUCACAUUUUUCUGAGCUAUAUGCAAUUUUAUAUGAAUUUUACAAAAAUGAUACAUGGGCUGUGAAUAGUAACUGCGGACCGUCCGUGGUCAACUAACGGACUGUCCGCGGUGAGCCGACGGACUGUUCGAACCUCAUGUACGGACUGUCCGCGGGACCCCGAAAAUCCAAAAUUGUCUCUGGAUGAUUUGGUUUUGAUUACGGACAGUCCGUCCGGGACUCUCGGACUGUCCACGGAUGAGGCGUGGCUCGCCGUCGAGCUCGCCGGCGGCGACUCCGACCAUGUUUUUGGAUGGAGUUUGUUUCUAUGGGUUGCUAGAAGUGUAUAGAGGUGAUUCCAAGUGAUAGAUUUGAGAGAAAACAAGUUUUAGAAGCUUGAACCCAUCAAUGGUGAUUGGGAACCCUAGGUUUCCAUAGAUGGGGCUAGGGAGCUCGAUUGAUGGCAAAGGAAGAGAGGGAGCGGUGAGGAAAGCUCACCGACGAUGAGUAGAGCAUGAUCUUGAUGCCGCUUGUUGACGUAGGGCAGCGUAGAAGUAUAUCGGGCCGAGUUCAUCCUUGAGAGCUUGGGGAAGAAGAAGAGGAAAAGCUUGGGCUUGACCUUUCCCAUGGUUCCCGGCGAGGAGGAGGUGAUGGAGAAGCUUGUCGGGGACGUCCUCCGGCGAUCUCCGGUGAGGUUGGUGGUGGAUUUGGUGGGGGGAGGAGUUUGCUCCCUCAAUGGCUCCAUGGGGAAGAGAGGAGGAGAAGGGAGGCAGUGGGGGAGAGAAUGAGAGUGAGAGAAAG
rnacentral:lncRNA from 1 species